rnacentral:rRNA from 1 species
GUCGAGAAUCAUUCACAAUGGGGGAAACCCUGAUGGUGCGACGCCGCGUGAGUGAAGAAGGUUUUCGGAUCGUAAAACUCUGUUGUUAGAGAAGAACAAGGAUGAGAGUAGAACGUUCAUCCCUUGACGGUAUCUAACCAGAAAGCCACGGCUAACUACGUGCCAGCAGCCGCGGUAAUACGUAGGUGGCAAGCGUUGUCCGGAUUUAUUGGGCGUAAAGCGAGCGCAGGCGGUUUCUUAAGUCUGAUGUGAAAGCCCCCGGCUCAACCGGGGAGGGUCAUUGGAAACUGGGAGACUUGAGUGCAGAAGAGGAGAGUGGAAUUCCAUGUGUAGCGGUGAAAUGCGUAGAUAUAUGGAGGAACACCAGUGGCGAAGGCGGCUCUCUGGUCUGUAACUGACGCUGAGGCUCGAAAGCGUGGGGAGCGAACAGGA